rnacentral:rRNA from 1 species
UACGUAGGGCGCAAGCGUUGUCCGGAAUUAUUGGGCGUAAAGAGCUCGUAGGCGGUCUGUCGCGUCGGCUGUGAAAACUCGGGGCUCAACUCCGAGCUUGCAGUCGAUACGGGCAGGCUAGAGUUCGGCAGGGGAGACUGGAAUUCCUGGUGUAGCGGUGAAAUGCGCAGAUAUCAGGAGGAACACCGGUGGCGAAGGCGGAUCUCUGGGCCAUUACUGACGCUGAGGAGCGAAAGCGUGGGGAGCGAACAGG